UAAGAGGCAGUGGAGGACCGAACCCACAUCCGUUGAAAAGGGUGGGGAUGAGGUGUGGAUAGGGGAGAAAUUCCAAUCGAACCCGGAGAUAGCUGGUUCUCCUCGAAAUAGCUUUAGGGCUAGCCUCGGUAGAGAUUAGCGGAGGUAGAGCACUGAAUUUCCUAGGGGGCGUCAAAGCCUACCGAAGAAUAUCAAACUCCGAAUGCCGCAGAAUUGCUUACCGGGAGUCAGACUGCACGAGAUAAGUUGGGCAGUCGAAAGGGAAAGAGCCCAGACCUUCAGUUAAGGUCCCAAAGUGCGCGUUAAGUGGAAAAGGAUGUGGGAUUUCAAAGACAACCAGGAU
rnacentral:rRNA from 1 species